AGUGACGCUCUCCGGUCCAUGAACGUGUAGAUAAGCCAAGAACAGAAAUUAUAGCGAAAAGUUUUACGCUCCGCCGCGUGACACAUUCAGAUAGACCCUUGAUUGCCGCAAUGAAGCCGCCGGGAGACGAGAUUUGGGAGAUGGAGACAAGGUGAUGUUCAUGAGGAUACCUUGAAGGACAAGCGGCCGAACGAAACAAACGGGGAGCUCUGAGUAAGGUCAGAUGAGUAAUGUACAGCUGUAUUGUUAGUGAAUAUGAUCCAUUCGUUAUACGACUUCAUUUGAGAGAGGGUUGUGGUCACAUUACGAAACAUUUGUUUUCUUUAGUUCGAAAUGAAAUUCGCGCGGUGGACCGACGUAAUUAACAUUCCGACACUUUACGUUGAUUGGCUAAACUUCUACGCUUUUACACUCAACAGGAAAAUACAAAACCUUUUUUCUUUGUCUUUAUCUAUCACCUUGGAGGUCUGGAGGAUUUUGGUUGUGUCAUGAUAAAAUUGUCCCGAUCCUUCCAUAAUUAAGGUCCUGAAAUAUUCUUAUAAUCCACCUCAUUGACAGUUAAUUGACAAUCAAUUCAUUUAGUCCCCCCUAUAGACUCUCUUGGCGACGACUGAUCCUCCCUCAGUUCCCACGGAAAACCAUGUGACCCCCCAAGAAUCAUACGAUUCCACCCAGGCGAUAAAUUAUGACUGGUUUUUGAAGCUUGUUUUGGGGUAGAUAGAUAAAGAUAUAUGGGGUAGAUAAAUAAAGAUAUAUGGGGUAGAUAAAUAAAGAUAUAUGGGGUAGAGAAAUAAAGAUAUAUAUGGCAAAUAGAUAAAGAUAUAUGGGGUAGAUAAAUAGAGGAUAUUACAUGGCCGCGCGCGGGGAUACGAAUUUCACUCGUGAGAGAUACUUUCAGUACGAGAAGAUAAAAUUCCUAUCCCCGCGCGGCCAUGUAAUGUUCUGUUUAUUUUAUUUAUACUGAUGAAAUUUCAAACGAACCGGCCACGCGCCUGAGCGGGAAGCUCUCUUGUAAUUGGCUAAUCAUGUUAGUAACCAUGGCGACACCAAUAUCCUCACACAACAGUAUCUUCACUGCGCGCGAUGAAGAUAUGAUGUUUUAGUUAAAAGAAAAGGGGCUAUAGAAAAAUCUUACUUGGUGGGGUCAGGAGCCCAUUACCUAAUGGGCUCCUGGUGGGGUACGAAAAAUAAAUACGGAGUAAAACUGUGCAGGACGUCAUGUUUAUUUACCUCUAUAUAGCAAUACUAGAAUUGUGUUAGAAUCGAGUUUAUUCCCUCGGAAAACCGUCAAUUUUAGAUUCUCGAGGCUUUCCGCGACUUCAAUUUUCUCUAUCCUGUUUGCAUCGUUUACGAGCGGUUAGUUUUAAUCGAAUUUCUUGAAUCUAAGAACGUAAUGUGCGCGGUGCUCCCGAUUAAACAUCUUUCUACCUCGGUGAAAAAUGGUUGUUUUUUUGCCAGGUGGAGGUCCUGCCAUCCAGCAGCAAGCCGCGUUUUGAAUAUUUUUGUUAAUAGCAUCAGACGAGGGUUUAUCAAUGGCCCCUGAUGAACUAGAUUCUUCUUUGUCGCCUGAACUAUCUGCCAGGGAGGUUCCUAGACAAAACGAGAACAAAAUUUCGAUUCUUAAUAUUGAUACUUUUUUCAUCUAUUAACAAAAGUUAUAUUUUGAGCUAAUAAUUAAGUAUGUUUGUUUUAUUUUUUUCGUGCUUUGGAGGUUUGGUGCUAGAAAGACUCACUCACAUCUGAUGCUACUCCACACAUCAGAAGAACAUCAUAUGAUUACCAACACAUGUACAGUCAGAAGUAGUUUCCAUGAUUACCUCUCCCAACACAAACCCAAUGCAAGGGAUACCGGACGCACCUUUUGAUUAACAGAGCGCAAUCACUGGCGAGAAAGUGUGAAAUAGGUGUUGACAAAAGUCGAAAAAUUGAUUUUAGGUGAAACAAUAUACAAAAGUAAAUACUGUUUUUUGUCACCGUCUACUGUUUGAAAGAACUGGCGAAACUCCCGGAGAUGUCUGACGUAAAAAAACCUCUUUUUAGCUAUUAGUAAAAGAACAAAGUUGACCAAAGAUAUUUUGUUUGGUGGGUUGAAUUUCAAGGUUAGAACGAAUAGUACUUUAAUUGCCUUUCAAGUUAAUGAAUAACCAAACAAACUAUUAAAAUAGUUAUUUGUGUAAUAUUUUUAGAGAAAAAUAAAAACAUCAUCUCAUUUAUAAGGGAGGCUUAAUACAAAGAGGCAGGAAUCAGAAAACAGGGCUCAGCAGGCACAACUGUGAACUUGGAGACAGGAAGUGUUUAGAGCGGGAACACAGGAACAACGUGAUCAAACUCUUCCUUCUUCUUCAAGUGACACUUCACACCAAUGAAUUUCACGAAUUUCACUCGAACAAUCUCUGCUGUUAUGUAAAUAAACUGAACGAAAUAUUUUGGCAUAUUAUGGUUGUGUAUUUAUCUUGUUACGUGCACAUUGCUCUGUGAAUGCCAAAUUUGAUUUUAAGAGCCACUUUGUACAACUGUGGCGUGGAAUUCCGAUCAAAUGAUUUGCGUUGAAUAAUUACAGACCAACUCAAAGUUUCAUCCACUGCGUUAAUGUAAACCUGAAUCGAGCUGAUUAUUAGGUUAAACCAACUCAAAAGUCUGCUUUGAAAGUUUCAUUACCUGGUCUCACACUGGGAUUUCAUUCACAUACUCACAAAUUGUAACCACAUUAUGCCUUGCACUCACCAUCCUUCUCACAGAGAAGGGCCAAUGAACUCUCAACAGAACCGCAUGAAAGUAAGGCUUAGAGGCUUUCAUUUGAAUGGCCUUACUAGCAUUUCACCCACAGACUACAGAGUUAUAACCAAUUUGUAUACCAGUAUAAUACGUAGUGAUGGAACUUCUGCUCAGUUGCUUUCAUAUGAACGAUCACACACGUCGGGGUUUCAUUCACGACUCGAAAUUCAGAGU